rfam:Myotis brandtii contig190261, whole genome shotgun sequence.
GUAUUGAAAGUGUUGAAUAGAAUGUUUACUUAGGAAUGUCUAUAAACAUUAAAGGAAGACUGAAAACACAC